UCCUCGUCCGACAAAUCGCCAUCGAAGCUCACAAACAGAGACGCCCCAAAACGUCUCGGGCUCUUUGUAGCCCAGCAGCUUUGGGAGAAAGUCCCCGGACACACGUUACUUCUUCCUUUCGGGGUUGAAGGCAAAACGCCGCGGAAACGCGCCGCCAUAGAAGCACAGCGGCUGACCUCCAAGACCUGCGUCCGGACACAAUGGCUCUCCCCCUCCGCCCUGCCCCGUCGCUACAUCGUCGCGGUUCCUCUGCACCCUUCUCGAAGCCCCGUCCCCUCGUUCCGAGACCCCAUGGAUGAAGAUAUGAGUCCGCGCUUGGGAUCUGAGGGUGGUGUGCUUUGGAUGGGACGAGAGGGCUCUUCGGUGACGGGGUGGCCGCGUGGGGAGGUCGCUUGCCGGGUGAAUUCAAGGGUCGGUCGGAGGAGUCUUUCGUCGAGAUCGAUAGUUAUGCGAUUGCUCGUCCCUUCACGGGGGCGGGAUUACUCGAUGGGGCUUAUUCUCGGCGCGAGG
rnacentral:RNase_MRP_RNA from 1 species